GGGUUGUGAGGUUAAGCGACUAAGCGUACACGGUGGAUGCCCUGGCAGUCAGAGGCGAUGAAGGACGUGCUAAUCUGCGAUAAGCGCCGGUAAGGUGAUAUGAACCGUUAUAACCGGCGAUUUCCGAAUGGGGAAACCCAGUGUGAUUCGUCACACUAUCAUUAACUGAAUCCAUAGGUUAAUGAGGCGAACCGGGGGAACU
rnacentral:rRNA from 2 species